rnacentral:rRNA from 1 species
AGUGAACGCUGGCGGUAGGUCUAACACAUGCAAGUCGAGCGGCAGCACAGUAAGAGCUUGCUCUUACGGGUGGCGAGUGGCGGACGGGUGAGGAAUACAUCGGAAUCUACUUUUUCGUGGGGGAUAACGUAGGGAAACUUACGCUAAUACCGCAUACGACCUACGGGUGAAAGCAGGGGAUCUUCGGACCUUGCGCGAUUGAAUGAGCCGAUGUCGGAUUAGCUAGUUGGCGGGGUAAAGGCCCACCAAGGCGACGAUCCGUAGCUGGUCUGAGAGGAUGAUCAGCCACACUGGAACUGAGACACGGUCCAGACUCCUACGGGAGGCAGCAGUGGGGAAUAUUGGACAAUGGGCGCAAGCCUGAUCCAGCCAUACCGCGUGGGUGAAGAAGGCCUUCGGGUUGUAAAGCCCUUUUGUUGGGAAAGAAAAGCAGCAGGUUAAUACCCCGCUGUUCUGACGGUACCCAAAGAAUAAGCACCGGCUAACUUCGUG